CAAAGGAACAAGGUGGAUUUGCUAUUUAUUUCAAGAUCAGUACUACACAAGGUUCUAAGGUUACUCUAGCAUGCAACGACGCUAUAACAACUGAUGGGACUUCCGGUACAUCUUCCACCAGUGAGCUUACUACCACUACAACAGCAUCUUCCACCAGUGAAGUUCCUAGCACUGCAACAACAUCUUCCACCAGUGAGUUUCCUAGUACUAUAACCACACCAGCAUCUUCCACCAGCAGCACCGAAACCCCCAGUACGUCAGAUAACCCUUCUACUAUAACUGCUACCCAUAAAACUUCAACAGAAAACAAAAAUAAUAUUUCUACACCCAAAGAAAAUGGACAGUUCCAAAAGGACAAUGAUUCUCCAAAACUAUAUGGUAUAGUAGGUGGAAGUGUUACUGGAGUGGUUAUUAUAGUAAUAAUUAUUACACUAGUCUGUUUUAUCAGGAAACAGAAAAGAAAUCACCUUGAGAAAGACACCGUGACUGUUGACGACAGACCUCGUGACUAUGUGAACAUUGUUGCCAAGGACAACAUGGUUUAUAGUGGUGAAGAUACCGUUGAAUAUAGCCUAGAAACCAACCCAAAUAGUAAUGGAAGAGUUACCCUUAACAACAGAGAAAAAACCAAUUCUGAACGAGGAAACAUCGUUACCAAUCCAAGUCCCAUUUACUAUGAAUUGGAAAGGGAUUUUGAUGUUGGGGCCUCUUCGUUAAAUGAUAAUCAGUCAGAUAUUCCUCAGGCUACGGUUGCCAAUUCAAGUCCCGUGUACUAUGAAUUGGAAAGGGAAUUUAAUGUUGGGACAUGUUCGGUAAAUGAUAACAAUACUAAAUCUGUUAUUCCUCUAGCUACGGUUUCCAGUCCAACUCCCGUUUACUAUGAAUUGGAAAGAGAUUUUGAUGAUGGGGCCUGUUACUAAAUCUGGGAUUCCUCUGGCUACGGUUGACGAUAUUGACGAUGUGGUAAACCCCUGCUGAAAAUCCUACAAUUCCAGAUGUUUCCAAAGAUGGACACACAGCUUCAUCAAGUACCAAAGAUGAACACACAGCUUCAUCAAGUACCAAAGAUGAAAUGUGUAUUACAGGUGGUGACAAAUUGUAUAAUUGUAGAAUAAAACCAAUCAAUUUAACAAUAACAAUGAAAAUCUAUAUAUCAGAGCCAGCUCCGACAUCUGAAACGUUGACGUUUAUAAUCAUUAUGAGUAUUC